GAGAAGACGAGACUGUUGCACCAGGUCGAUGACGUUAAAGUGGAAAGAAUAAGCCUGUGCUACGUGUACUACUCUAUAUCUAGCUCUUCUCGGCUGAUGACCGCGCAUGCGAUGGCGAACAAGUGCUGCCUGCGCCUCCUUUCCUUUCUCACGAACGAGCCGAGCGGAAGAAGCGGAUUCACAGCGAGCACGCGAAACAGGCUAUCACUGAUCUUAUUAAGCAAAACAAUGUGCAUGGAUAUUCGUGCCAAGUGAAUCUGGUAUCUUGCAGAGAGUCUGCUUGACUGAUGGAGGCGACAACAAAGGCACUAGAAACUCAAGGAGUAGUGUGGAAUAGGUAUGAAAAGGCAUUUGGUAUGGAGCUGCAGGGCUCUCUGGAGGGAGAAUGCAUUGAAUGCAACUGUUGUGAUUUGAUCGUUUUGAUGACCACGACGGCGACUGCAAAUUGCUCAGAUCCUGACAAAUCCUGUCUUUGUCGUGAAGACCUCAGGCCUGCAACACAUUACUCCUAUCUGUCAAGGGCGCCACAUACAGUUAAUAGGUUCAAACCGUUAGCUAGCUCCCACGAAUAGAUUUCAUUUAAUUUCUCACUAGACUCUCAAGCGCAAAGGGCUGAUUUUUUCUUGAAAUUGGUCGCCGUAUCAUGAAGGUUAAAUUUUAAUUGUUACAUGAUUUUUUCCGCAAGCUUACAAGUAAGCCAUGAAUGUUGUCAUUUAUGCUCGGUUUCACCAAGCUCGGUCAAGACAUUUGGUAAACCAGGUAUGCGAUCAACAAGUGUGUUCUGGAAUUAUCCAUAGUAAUCGAUAGUAUCGCCAUAGAUUUAUGUAGAGUAUUCUAUUUAUCGAAUAACAAGAGAUAAUAAAGUGGUUCAGUUAUGAUUACAAUGUAAUUUUCAUAAGAAUCAUUAUACUUCAUUCUCAUGGAAUAUGCUCAUAGAGAUCAACUUUAAUUCAGUGAGACGAGUGCAGUAUAUAGAAUAUAGAAGUGCACUAAAAAAAAAAAGCCAGAAAAGUAUUUGAAAUGGUUUAGUUGGGUUUGACAUAUGAAUUGGAUGUAAAAUAACUGAGCAACAAUGAAAUACGGCUUGAGAUGAGUUAUUCGAAAUGCAUAAAAGUUUUAUGAUGAUGAAACAGUAUAUUAUCUUGGAUCAUUGAUUAUUCAGAUGGGCAUUAAGAAGUCUCGUCUUGUAGUUGCAAAUCCCGACGCCUAUCACAGUUCACCAAUAGAAAAAUUUCAAUGCUUUCGAUAAAUCAUCUUCGUUGGUAUUUCUUAACUGUUCAUGGGUCGUAAAAUCCUAUUUAGGGAAUCAAAUUCAACCAUAAAUAAUACCUGACAAGUUUUACGACAAAAUAAUACAUACUAAUCUACACUGAGUUUUCAGAUGCAGUACUCAUGCCUAGAGAACAUCCUACGUUUGUUUAAUAAACAACACACACUGGAACACUAACUAAAAUAUAUUCAAUAUAUAUAUAUAUAAAUUCAAUAACAGCACCCAAGCAUAGCUUCAAUCAUGAACUUCGAUGGAAUACUCAAAUGAGAGGCUUCUACAAUUAGAUCAAUCUAAUAACAUCCUUAGAUAUUCUGUUUUUGAACUAUUCCCUCUAAUUGGCCUGUAAUUUGAUUGAAGUAUCACGUGAUUGUACUGUGAUGGUGAUGAUAUUGAAAUAAAUUAAUUAAUUAUGGGUUUGUGUUUUCAUAGAGAUAGAUUUAGUAUGGGUUCAUUCGAAAAGUGUAGAAUUAGGACUUCAACAAUGAUACUUUAGUGAUCUUUUUGUGUGUAAAUUUCUGUCGUGAGAAAUUUAUUUUUCUGUUAAAAAAUAAUUUUCUCACAUUAAGAUUUUGCUAACUUGCGUCCGGGAAGGCUCCAAUUUUAUGCAGGGUUGAGGUAUUCUCACGAAACUGUAUUUCCGUUAGCGAUGGAAAAUAGACGAGUAUAUUUGGGAAUAUUUCAAACUAGCAUUAUUUUCCUUUCCCACGGAAUUAUGCUCGUCUUCACGUGGACCGUUGUCUCGUUGGUGGAAGGGGAACAUAAUUUGCGUGGAAUAGUGCAGUUCCAAUCAAGCCGCGGCCUAAUCCACAUUUAAAAUCCACAGGUAGCCUCGGGCCUCGAGGGCUCAAAAUUUACGUGUGUGUUGAAUUUGUUUGCUGUUUAAGUUUGUAAUAUGUAUUAUUUUCCGCCGUGAGUUAAGUUGAAGUGGUUUAUUAAUUAUUUGAAGUGAAUAUGUCAAUGUUUGUUUAAAUUAGUGAAUUAUCCGGGAGUAAUCAGUGUAAUGAAAAUUUCUAAAUAGUAAUGAAUUUAUAAAUUGAUCGAUUGCUAGUGCCAUUAUAUUUUCUAGCUCAUGCUGAAACCCUUGAAUGACCCGAGUCCCUAGUAUCAUGAAUUUGUAAUUGAGAAAUUGAGAAACUAAUAAAGUCCACGCUACCUUCGUGAACAGUUACAAUCCAAAUAAGCAGUUAGCAAAAUCUUACAUGCAGUCAUCUUGAAAUUUUAGAAUGUGCAAUGAACCGAUAUAGAUUAUUUUUGCUAUUGUCCAAAUUUGAA